CUGGGCACAUAUUCAUUCUCCAGGCACUCUGCCAAACUCUUCCAAGCACCCUACCUGCCUACUAUCUUAAGUUUCCCGAAUAAGUGAGAAAACACAAUCCAGUUGCAGCUGCAGGGCUGCAUGUUUCCUCCCUGCACUCCGAGACUGAACUCUAAAACACGGACAAGAAAACUUUUGACGCAUGGGCGAAAACUCAUGGGGUGUUUAUACAGUGCAACAUGCUGAUCCAUUCCACAUCUGACGAACUACCAUGAGCAACACAUCAGAGUCGUGCCUCAUCUUUCAUAGAGGAAAAGGUCAACAUUCAGUGAGAGGAAAUCAUCCUGCACAGCUGGACAACCACAGUGCUGGAUCAUCUCCGUAAGAGAAAAGAAGAGAAAGCGAGUACAAAUAUACAACUCUCAAGUGUAGGAGGAGAGAAGAUCAGUCAAAGCCCUGAAAAAGCCAGUCCACUUCUACAUUACUUUACUUUACAACUUCAAUGGUUAGAUUAAAAGUCUCCUACCUUAA